UAAAUUCCCAAAUUAAAAACCCAAAGUUGUGAGCUUUUCUUGAAUGUUACUACUGCUUGUAGUUUGGUUUAUGGUUUUAGUUUUUGUUGCAUGACCCUAAGAUUUAUUGGUUUUGAUGUAAGAGCUGAAGAAAUAUUUAGCCUUUUCAUCUGAGCUUUACUUUAUUCUGGGAUAUAUUGCUCUCAUCUGUCACAGUUGAUGUUAACGUGUGCAGAACAGCUAAGCUGAAGUGAUAUAUUGCUCUCAUCUCUACUUCUUUUCCUGUGGUUGCUGGACUGGCUAUUGUCUCUGCUAUAUGCUUUAAUUUAUAUGGUCUCAUUGCACUAUUUCCAAGUAUACUUGUAGGUUCUAUACUGGUUUCUUGAAUGAUUUCUUUGGUUUUUGUUUAGAUUCAUUGGCGUGUCUCUAUAAACCAACAUUGCCUUUGUUGCAACUGCUUUACACUAGACUCAAGAGAUAAUUAUGGGCAUUUAUACCUUUGUUCUUC